rnacentral:rRNA from 1 species
CCUACGGGAGACAGCAGUGGGGGAUAUUGCACAAUGGGGGAAACCCUGAUGCAGCGACGCCGCGUGUGGGAAGACGGUCCUCUGGAUUGUAAACCACUGUCCCCAGGGACGAAGAUGACGGUACCUGGGGAGGAAGCUCCGGCUAACUACGUGCCAGCAGCCGCGGUAAUACGUAGGGAGCGAGCGUUGUCCGGAAUUACUGGGUGUAAAGGGAGCGUAGGCGGGACUGCAAGUUGGGUGUCAAAUCUACCGGCUCAACCGGUAGCCGCACUCAAAACUGCAGUUCUUGAGUGAAGUAGAGGCAGGCGGAAUUCGUAGUGUAGCGGUGAAAUGCGUAGAUAUUAGGAGGAACACCAGUGGCGAAGGCGGCCUGCUGGGCUUUUACUGACGCUGAGGCUCGAAAGUGUGGGGAGCGAACAGGAUUAGAUACCCUAGUAGUC